UACGUAGGGCGCAAGCGUUGUCCGGAAUCAUUGGGCGUAAAGAGCUCGUAGGCGGUUUGUCACGUCGGCUGUGAAAUCCCGAGGCUCAACCUCGGGUCUGCAGUCGAUACGGGCAGGCUAGAGUCCUGUAGGGGAGACUGGAAUUCCUGGUGUAGCGGUGAAAUGCGCAGAUAUCAGGAGGAACACCGGUGGCGAAGGCGGGUCUCUGGGCAGGUACUGACGCUGAGGAGCGAAAGCGUGGGGAGCAAACAG
rnacentral:rRNA from 1 species